GAUGAACGCUGGCGGCGUGCCUAACACAUUCAAGUCGAACGGACUUAACUUAGAAGCUUGCUUCCGGGUUAAGUUAGUGGCGGACGGGUGAGUAACGCGUGAGCAACCUGCCUGUGUGAGGGGAAUAACAGCUGGAAACGGCUGCUAAUACCGCAUAACGUAUGCCGAUCGCAUGUUCGGCAUACCAAAGAUUUAUCGCACACAGAUGGGCUCGCGUUGGAUUAGAUAGUUGGUAAGGUAACGGCUUACCAAGUCUGCGAUCCAUAGCCGGACUGAGAGGUUGAACGGCCACAUUGGAACUGAGAAACGGUCCAGACUCCUACGGGAGGCAGCAGUGGGGAAUAUUGGGCAAUGGGCGCAAGCCUGACCCAGCAACGCCGCGUGAAGGAAGAAGGCUUUCGGGUUGUAAACUUCUUUUGUCGAGGAAGAGUAGAAGACUGUACUCGGCGAAUAAGCCACGGCUAACUACGUG
rnacentral:rRNA from 1 species